rnacentral:rRNA from 1 species
UACAGAGGUCCCGAGCGUUGUUCGGAUUCAUUGGGCGUAAAGGGUGCGUAGGCGGCGGGGCAAGUCUGAUGUGAAAUCCCGGGGCUCAACCCCGGAACUGCAUUGGAUACUGCCUUGCUUGAGUACUGGAGAGGAGACUGGAAUUUACGGUGUAGCAGUGAAAUGCGUAGAUAUCGUAAGGAAGACCAGUGGCGAAGGCGAAUCUCUGGACAGUUACUGACACUGAGGCACGAAGGCCAGGGGAGCAAACGGG